AUGGCCUACCAGCUUCAUCCAUCCAUCCAUCUCUCUCUCCCUCUCACCCCCACACAUGCAACAAGAGACAACUCCUCCGUCCCCUAUCUUAGGUUGUUGCCCUCCCUUGCCUUUGCCUUGCCACUGCUGCUACAAGUAGCACCAGCUGUAGAGUGGAGAGGGAGGGAGGGAGGGGAGCCCAUAUUUAUUGCAACAGUAGAGCUGCUCCACUUACACUGGAGAAGAAGGAAGAGAAGAGGAGCAGCAAGAGAGGAGAAGGAGCUGUUGCUUGCUCGCUCGCUCGCUGCCCCAGGGGCUCAUUACUCAUUAGCGCAGUUAUUGCCACCCCUGUUCGGUGUGGAGACACGCUCCAUCUAA
rnacentral:rRNA from 1 species